GACAUGCCCUAUUGCUCUCGGGGGAGGAAGGAUGUGUAAUCCUCCUCAGCCUCUGCAAUGUGAUUUCAAGUGAGGAAUUGCUUUCCAUCAAUAAAGCGGUCAAGUCAGUUUUUGACAAGUUUAUUAGUACAGUAAGACUGUGGUAUCAGGACCCAGUUCAGAGGUGAACAAAGCCAAACCAUAUUGUUUGAGGGCAAAGGCAGGUUUUUAGGGGAGAGACAAAAUAAAUAUCCAAGUAGAAACAAAGCUAGACUUGAGACCUUGGAGAUAGGUUGACAGCUGUCUAUUUGGAGGUUCUUGUGUCUCAUCCCUUUUUGCAGGAUGGAACUCAGAGCUUUGGAUGACGACUGGCUAAUUCUAGAACACUGCACUGAAUGUUACUCAUUAGCAGGCUGUGGUUAGAGCAGAGUGCCUUUCCAAGUAGUCUCAGGAUGCCAGCGGGACCUGCCUGUGCAGUGACCAUCUUGAGUCUGAAAUUUAAGUGGAAAGCAGCAAAUUAGCCAUUCCUGUGUUUAGAGGAAAACUGAGUUUAGUUAGAAGGUGUGAAGUCGUUGGGGCCAGCAUGUUCCUACUGAAGAAACUGGGAAUCCUCGGCAGGUUAGUAGCAAGCAGAACUUUAGAGUCCCUUGAAGGAAGGUUGAAGUGAUGUUUGGACUGCUGAACUGCAGAGUGAACCUGGGAAUGAGAUGCACUGACACCCUCAUCAGUGCUUUCCAUCAGUGUGCAAGACUUAGCUAUUUCUCAAAAGAACACAGCUUCCUCUCACAUGGAAUGUCCUACCAUUGGGGAUGUAACCAGAAGCCUCUGAAGCCUACUCAGUUUUUUAGGUGAAGAUCCCAGAUUUUUGUUUGUCACAACUCUCAUGGUUACAUUUAUAGGUAGGGAAUCCAGCCACUUCAGUCCAGUUUCUGAAAAUUCCUGGCUAGGUUAUUUUUCAGAGUUCCAUUUGGACAUUUUACCACCUCUUCUGAUUGUGGACAAGACAGUGAAGGCAUUGAUGAAUGUGUAGGGCUUUACAGCUUUAUUUACAAUCCAAUCUGGAAAUGAUGGACUCCUGUUACAAAUAGACACACUUAAUGUACCAAAUCUGGAAAUAAAAUAUUUCAGAAGUCU
rnacentral:lncRNA from 1 species